CCAAUAAUGCAAGUCGAGCGAACUGAUUAGAAGCUUGCUUCUAUGACGUUAGCGGCGGACGGGUGAGUAACACGUGGGCAACCUGCCUGUAAGACUGGGAUAACUUCGGGAAACCGAAGCUAAUACCGGAUAGGAUCUUCUCCUUCAUGGGAGAUGAUUGAAAGAUGGUUUCGGCUAUCACUUACAGAUGGGCCCGCGGUGCAUUAGCUAGUUGGUGAGGUAACGGCUCACCAAGGCAACGAUGCAUAGCCGACCUGAGAGGGUGAUCGGCCACACUGGGACUGAGACACGGCCCAGACUCCUACGGGAGGCAGCAGUAGGGAAUCUUCCGCAAUGGACGAAAGUCUGACGGAGCAACGCCGCGUGAGUGAUGAAGGCUUUCGGGUCGUAAAACUCUGUUGUUAGGGAAGAACAAGUACGAGAGUAACUGCUCGUACCUUGACGGUACCUAACCAGAAAGCCACGGCUAACUACGUGCCAGCAGCCGCGGUAAUACGUAGGUGGCAAGCGUUAUCCGGAAUUAUUGGGCGUAAAGCGCGCGCAGGCGGUUUCUUAAGUCUGAUGUGAAAGCCCACGGCUCAACCGUGGAGGGUCAUUGGAAACUGGGGAACUUGAGUGCAGAAGAGAAAAGCGGAAUUCCACGUGUAGCGGUGAAAUGCGUAGAGAUGUGGAGGAACACCAGUGGCGAAGGCGGCUUUUUGGUCUGUAACUGACGCUGAGGCGCGAAAGCGUGUGGAGCAAAACAGGAUUAGAUACCCUGGUAGUCCACGCCGUAAACGAUGAGUGCUAAAGUGUUAGAG
rnacentral:rRNA from 1 species